ACACACUACCAGCCCCUCCACCCAGGAACAGCAUCAGCAACCACGCAGAGAGGAGCCCAUUGCUGCUGAAGGUGAGAGGCUGUCCUCUGCCUGCUUUCAGGACUCCUGGUUCUCAGGCUGCUAGACCUGAACUGGAAUCUACAGCCACUGGCUCUCUGGCUUUCAGGUCUUCAAACUACAUCACCAGCUUUCCUGGGCCUGAACCUUGCCAAUGACAGAUUGUGGGACUUCUCAGCCUCCAUAAACAUCCAACAGCAACUGCCCAUUGGAAGCACAUUGGAAUGGCAAUCCAACAUCCAAAAUGGCUGGGAAAGUGAAGUACUUCAGUUAUUGGAAUAUACUAGUUAGCUGACAAUUUCCAUCUGCCAAUAUCACAAGUGAGAGGACUAUUUCUAAACACUUAACACUAAAUUAUACAGAACAAAAUUCCGUCUUCUUUGGACUAUUCAAAUGUCAUUUUGAAAUGGCUGCUGCAUGGCCAGCAGACUGAGGUGAGAGAAAUUUGUAGCUGUAGAGAAUCCUCAUUAAUGCAGUGAGGCCUUCCCUUUCUAGGCAAUUCCUGGAUCUAAGAGAGAUUAACUGAGACUGACACCUUUAAAGGUCUGAAAAGAUAUUUACUGUCUACUCUCUCGGAGCACUGCUCUCUAUGAGGCUUCAUCCAUAUAACAAAGCUACCUUUGCUAGAUCGGCGUCUUCCUUUCUCCCUCUCAUAAUCUGUCUUGCCACUAAACCUGAUUUACCAACAUAACCAGUUUUGGGCUACACUCUGAGCUCACAUUUUUUUCUAUAACCUCAGGAUGGAAUAUAAGAUUCUGUGCCUUAUUGUUGGCUUGGGUCUUUAUUCUGAAGGUUCCUUUGUGUGCAUGUUAAAUAAGUUUGUAUGCCUUUUCUCCUAUUAAAGCAAAAACAAAAACAAAA